GACGAACGCUGGCGGCGUGCUUAACACAUGCAAGUCGAACGGUAAGGCCCUUCGGGGUACACGAGUGGCGAACGGGUGAGUAACACGUGGGUGAUCUGCCCUGCACUUCGGGAUAAGCCUGGGAAACUGGGUCUAAUACCGGAUAGGACCACUGCCUGCAUGGGUGGUGGUGGAAAGCUUUUGCGGGGCGGGAUGGGCCCGCGGCCUAUCAGCUUGUUGGUGGGGUGAUGGCCUACCAAGGCGGGGACGGGUAGCCGGUCGGGGAGGGUGACCGGCCACACUGGGACUGGGAGACGGCCCCGACUACUACGGGAAGCAGCAGGGGGGAAUGUUGCACACUGGGCGCAAGCCUGAUGCAGCGACGCCGCGUGAGGGAUGACGGCCUUCGGGUUGUAAACCUCUUUCAGCACCGACGAAGCGCAAGUGACGGUAGGUGCAGAAGAAGGACUGGCCAACUACGUGCCAGCCACCGCAGUAA
rnacentral:rRNA from 1 species